rnacentral:lncRNA from 1 species
CAGCGACAGGAUUUGAGCCACCUGAAGGAGGGACACCAAUAAGGCGUCCGAUAAGACAAGUCUUAUAAAAUAUAUAGAUUUAUGAUAGUUAAGACUAAGCUAACAGAUGAGAAUUCUAGUCACUGGCCAAGCAGCUUUGAACCUAAUACAAGUCUCUCUGUGUAUUAAUUUGGGCCCUAACUCAGGCGGGCAGCUGGCGAAAAGCGCACAUGUGGCAGUAGGGCUCAGGCGGCUUUUGGCAGAAAGAUUUAUCGUAACAAUAGGGUUUUGUGAAACAAUGCAGGCAAGGCUUGACCUCAGUCUGUCACACAAGUAUGCCUUGAACUUGGAAUCCUCCUGAUUCCAUCUCCCAAGUGCAGGAAUUGCAGGUAUGUGCCACCACCAUGCCCAGGCCAGAAUUUCCUUUCAUACAGGGCAGGACUCCCAUGGGCUUGAGCAAAGCAUGGCACAUCAAGUUGAGGAAGGACUGGUCUCCUCCCCCUGCAUCAAGGCUGGGCAAGCUCUGUCUGACCUGGAACUUGCAGUGAUUGCGAAGCAUCUUUUGAGGUGGGAAGACCUACCUUUAAUCUGGGCCACACCUUCUGGGGACAGUCUAUAUAAAGACACAGAAGAAUGAAGCUUUGCUGUCUGCCUGGUUGCUCUCACCGUGCUAGCAAGUCUGUCCAUUUCUUCACUAGCAUUAGAGUUUACUUCUUCAGGAUUCCACCUGAGACAUCAGAACUGUGGACUGAAUAACUACUGGAUUCAUGGGCUUUCUGUUAGUUAGUAAACAGCCAUUGUUGGAUUAGCUGGACCACAGCCUGUAAGCCACUCUAAAACAUUGUGGUGGUUUGAAAGAAAAUGGCCCCCAAAGGUAGUGACACUAUUAGGAGGUGGGGCUUUGUUGGAGGAAGUGUGUCUCGGUGGGGGCUGGCUUUGAGGUCUCUUUUGCUCAAGCUUCCCUCAGUGUGACUGUCAGUUGACUUCCUGUUGCCUGCAAGACGUAGCACUACAAGCGAGCCACCUCAAUUAAAUGUUUUCUUUAUGAGUUGCCAUGGUCAUGGUGUCUCUUCAGAGCAAUAAAAACCUUUAAGAGAGAAGUCUAACAGAUAUAUACAUGUAUCAUAUCAUGUAUUCAUUCAUUCUAUCAGCUCUAUUUCUCUAGAGAAUCCUGGGAAAUACAAGUGUGUACUACCCUUGCAAGAGACCAGAGUUACUUUCCUA